GCCUUGAUGCUGAAAUGGUAGACACGCGAGACUCAAAAUCUCGUGCUGAAGAGCGUGGAGGUUCGAGUCCUCUUCAAGGCA
rfam:Hordeum vulgare subsp. vulgare, WGS project CAJW01000000 data, contig: morex_contig_1238554